rnacentral:rRNA from 1 species
AUUGAACGCUGGCGGCAUGCCUUACACAUGCAAGUCGAACGGCAGCACGGGGCAACCUGGUGGCGAGUGGCGAACGGGUGAGUAAUGCAUCGGAACGUGCCAUUGAGUGGGGGAUAACGUAGCGAAAGUUGCGCUAAUACCGCAUAUUCUGUGAGCAGGAAAGCAGGGACCGCAAGGCCUUGCGCUCUUUGAGCGGCCGAUGUCAGAUUAGCUAGUUGGUGAGGUAACGGCUUACCAAGGCGACGAUCUGUAGCGGGUCUGAGAGGAUGAUCCGCCACACUGGAACUGAGACACGGUCCAGACUCCUACGGGAGGCAGCAGUGGGGAAUUUUGGACAAUGGGGGCAACCCUGAUCCAGCAAUGCCGCGUGAGUGAUGAAGGCCUUAGGGUUGUAAAGCUCUUUUGCCAGGGAAGAUGAUGACUGUACCUGGAGAAUAAGCCCCGGCUAACUUCGUGCCAGCAG